CAUUCUUCAUUAAAUUGUUCUAAUAAUUUGAAACCUUUUCUGUAUUUUUGGUCAAGGUGCACAAGUCUUCUUGGCCGGGUCAUCUCUAAAUGGCUUUGGUAUUCGCAGCAGUGAUGCUGAUCUUUGUCUUGUCAUUGAAGAGGGAACAGUAAACCACAGAACAGAUGCUGUAUAUGUAUAUGUAUAUGUAAGUCUUGUGCGGAAAUUGUUUUACACAGUGUGUAAGUGAUCUGCCGUACAUACAUCAUUAAACAUACAGAAGUU